AAGAAAUUAAAUAAUUAUAACUCUCGUUUCAAGAAAAAUACCUAUCUUUCGUUACUCCUCUUUACAAGAAAUAUUAAAAUUUGAGAGAUAAAAAAGGAUGAGGUUCUUACCCUCCACUGACCUACCCAUUAAGAGGAGCCUGACUAAAACUUUUGGCCGGGGGUAAAUCAUCAAACAGCAUGAACAAGUUCUUAUUCAUCCCUACUUAAUUUCAAAAUUGUCCACAGAAGCAGUACAUUGAUCCAAAAUAAAGUAAUAACAACGAAGAUCGAUCACGUAUGCUUCCACCUCAUUUCAUUUUGGCCUCUGUGAACAGAACAUGGCGAUUCACCCUAGGGUCAUACUUGCGAAACUCGAGCUUCUCAGCAAUUUUCUUAGAACUCUUUCUCUUCACAUAGAAGAAUCCAGUCCCAGCAGCUGAAACAAGCCGGAUGAACAUGAAUGUCUUCUUCUUCUUGUCGCCCAUUCCUAAUUGCAGACACAACACAUAGCCAUCAAAACAGUAUAAACACAUGUGUCAAAGAAAGAAAACAUUUUUUUUUCUUACAGUCAGAAACAAUAGAUCACAGACAAGCAUAUGCAUAAUCCAAAUCCAUUGUAGACAAUAUAUAACAAAUGCUCUCAUCUCUAACCUAAAACCUUGCCAACCGGCACAGGUCUUAAAUCUUGAAAGAAAAUAUCAAAAUAGUAAAGACAAUAAAUUUGCUAGACUAGACGGAAUUUCAAUUCCUGACAUCAUAUAAACCACGUCUACAGCAACGAAUCUCAGUUGGUCAUUUUAUCGAGCACCUUUUGAGCAACUUUCAUGGGUCGA
rnacentral:misc_RNA from 1 species